rnacentral:rRNA from 1 species
GACGAACGCUGGCGGCGUGCUUAACACAUGCAAGUCGAACGCUGAAGCCCUUUCGGGGGUGGAUGAGUGGCGAACGGGUGAGUAACACGUGGGUAAUCUGCCCUGUACUUCGGGAUAAGCCUUGGAAACGGGGUCUAAUACCGGAUAGGACCUGUCCUCGCAUGGGGGUGGGUGGAAAGUUCCGGCGGUAUGGGAUGAGCCCGCGGCCUAUCAGCUUGUUGGUGGGGUAGAGGCCUACCAAGGCGACGACGGGUAGCCGGCCUGAGAGGGUGACCGGUCACACUGGGACUGAGACACGGCCCAGACUCCUACGGGAGGCAGCAGUGGGGAAUCUUGCGCAAUGGGCGAAAGCCUGACGCAGCAACGCCGCGUGGGGGAUGACGGCCUUCGGGUUGUAAACCUCUUUCGACAUCGACGAAGGGGCCCUGUUGUGGGGUUUUAACGGUAGGUGUAGAAGAAGCACCGGCUAACUACGUGCCAGCCGCCGCAGUAA